GCCGGAAUAGCUCAGUUGGGAGAGCGUUAGACUGAAGUUGUUUAUGCAACAAUCAUCUAAAGUUCAAUCCCGGGUUCCGGCA
rnacentral:tRNA from 1 species